rnacentral:rRNA from 1 species
GUCCACGCCAUAAACGAUGAGAACUAGACGUUGAGAGGGUAAGCCUCCCAGUGUCGUAGCUAACGCGCUAAGUUCUCCGCCUGGGGAGUACGGCCGCAAGGUUGAAACUCAAAUGAAUUGACGGGGACCCGCACAAGCGGUGGAGCAUGUGGUUUAAUUCGAUGCAACGCGAAGAACCUUACCUGGCCUUGACAUCCAUGGGACCCCGAAGAGAUUUGGGGGUGCCGUAAGGAACCAUGAUACAGGUGCUGCAUGGCUGUCGU